ensembl:misc_RNA Metazoa_SRP Metazoan signal recognition particle RNA
GCUGGGUGUGGUGGUGCACACCUGUAGUCCCAGCUACUUGGGAGGCUGAGGCAGGAGAAUCGCUUGAACCCAGGAGGCAGAGGUUGCAGUGAGCCGAGAUCACGCCACUGAACUUCAGCCUGGGCAACAGAGUGAGACUCCGUCUCAA